GUUUUGAGGCAGAUAGACUUUUUCUUACAUUUUAUUACAGAACGCCCAAGGUUACAUCAGUCAAAAUCAAGACUGGACAACAAAGCCUCCAUAGCAAAGUCUGCAAAACAACUGGACUGUCUGAGCUAAUGAGGGGACCAUGUUAUACCACUAACAAAACCUGACAAAAAUAACCACAGCCAAUACUUUAAGCCCAGCACAGAAACCAGGACCAGAGGACACACAGUUGGAAAUGAAGCGGAGACAGACUUAGGACAGAAGUUUUUUUUUUAGAGCUCCAAAGAAUCCUCAGCCCUUUCAGUUUUGUAAACAAAUGAACGCGACCUUAGCCACAAGGCAUGCUGGGAAAGAACCGCCAACAUCCCUCAAACUCGCAUUGUGUGGAAACUGAGUCUUUUCCCUCGACUAGACUAUCGAUGGGUCGACGGGGGUUCAGGAGGAAUGGGGGAGGACCCGGAUCAGUUGGGACUGGCGCUCAUGGAAACGAGGUAUUAGAAAAAGGAAUUGGGAUCCCGAUCCCAGUGCGUUAUCCAGUAGAAAUCCUAGCAUAAACAUGAGCACUGCCAGCAACACAAUGGAUUUUGAACUCAGUUUGACACGGCCACACACCAUUGCAUUGCCAUUGUCCUAGUCACAUUAUUUUUUAUGAAUUGAAGAUGGUAUUUUUCCAAAUGUUCUUUGCUUGAAAGCACUAAAAUACAAUAGAACACAAAGAAAAUUGUCACCGCCACAGAGAUUUAAAAAAAAGCCAUCAAACUGACAAUUUCUGUGCGUCUUGGCCUUUCAGUGGUUGCCAUUACCUUUCUCCGCCUGUUCUUUUGUAAUCUAAAAGUCUGUCAGGGUUUGAAGUAUCUGGAAUGACCCUGCAUUGAAAUGCAGCACGGAAAGGCGGCUGGCUUUCUCAUAAGCCACAGAUCGUCUGGGAGUGAUAGUGCUGUUCUGUUAAUGCAGAUUGCUGUAAGCAAAAAGCUCAGAGGAUUACUUUGUAGCAAUUUGUUUUUGCAUUUAAGGGUCUUUUGUUUCCUCUUCUGCACAUCUUUGGUGUCAUUUUUUUGUUUGUUUUAAGUGUGUAGAAAAAAAAUACUGAAAAUUA